GUUGAAACUCAAAGGAAUUGACGGGGACCCGCACAAGCGGUGGAUGAUGUGGUUUAAUUCGAUGCAACGCGAAAAACCUUACCUACCCUUGACAUGUCAAGAAUUUCGCAGGAGAUGUGGAAGUGCUCGAAAGAGAACUUGAACACAGGUGCUGCAUGGCCGUCGUCAGCUCGUGUCGUGAGAUGUUGGGUUAAGUCCCGCAACGAGCGCAACCCUUGUCAUUAGUUGCUACGAAAGGGCACUCUAAUGAGACUGCCGGUGACAAACCGGAGGAAGGUGGGGAUGACGUCAGGUCCUCAUGGCCCUUAUGGGUAGGGCUACACACGUCAUACAAUGGCCGGUACAGAGGGCUGCCAACCCGCGAGGGGGAGCCAAUCCCAGAAAACCGGUCGUAGUCCGGAUCGCAGUCUGCAACUCGACUGCGUGAAGUCGGAAUCGCUAGUAAUCGCGGAUCAGCUUGCCGCGGUGAAUACGUUCCCGGGUCUUGUACACACCGCCCGUCACACCAUGGGAGCGGGUUCUGCCAGAAGUAGUUAGCCUAACCGCAAGGGGGGCGAUUACCACGGCAGGGUUCGUGACUGGGGUGAAGUCGUAACAAGGUAAC
rnacentral:rRNA from 1 species